rnacentral:rRNA from 1 species
AACGAACGCUGGCGGCAGGCUUAACACAUGCAAGUCGAACGCCCCGCAAGGGGAGUGGCAGACGGGUGAGUAACGCGUGGGAACGUACCUUUCGCUUCGGAAUAUUCCCGGGAAACUGGGAGCAAUGCCGAAUACGCCGUAUUGGGAAAGAUUUAUCGGCGAAAGAUCGGCCCGCGUUAGAUUAGGUAGUUGGCGGUGUAAUGGACCACCAAGCCUACGAUCUAUAGCUGGUCUGAGAGGAUGAUCAGCCACACUGGGACUGAGACACGGCCCAGACUCCUACGGGAGGCAGCAGUGGGGAAUCUUGGACAAUGGGCGCAAGCCUGAUCCAGCCAUGCCGCGUGAGUGAAGAAGCCCUUAGGGUUGUAAAACUCUUUCGCCGGAGAAGAUAAUGACGGUAUCCGGAGAAGAAGCCCCGGCUAACUUCGUGCCAGCCGCCGCGGUAAAAC